rnacentral:rRNA from 1 species
CCACACCUAAAAUCUUUCCACGUGAAUUGUUUUGCUGUAAUUUUGGGCUUCGCCGUUGUCUUUUUUUCUUUUUUUCCUUUUUUUGUAAAAAAAGGGGGGAGCGCGGUUGGAGGCCAUCAGGGGCGUGUUCGUCGUGCGUUUUAUGAUUCUAUGAUUCUAUGAUUCACGCGCGAGUGCGUCCUUUUGUCAACCCAUUUCUUUUGAAAAACUGAUCAUACUGUGGGGACGAAAGUCUCUGCUUUUAACUAGAUAGCAACUUUCAGCAGUGGAUGUCUAGGCUCGCACAUCGAUGAAGAACGCUGCGAACUGCGAUACGUAAUGCGAAUUGCAGGAUUCAGUGAGUCAUCGAAAUUUUGAACGCAUAUUGCACUUUCGGGUUCUGCCUGGAAGUAUGUCUGUAUCAGUGUCCGUACACUAAACUUGCCUUUCUUGCGUCGUGUAGUCGUCGCUGGGAAUGCGCAGAUGUGAGGUUUGUCUUGCUUUGGUUCCUAUUCUUUGGGCAGGAGCAAGUCCCUUUAAAGUCGGACGUGUUUUCUCUCUGUGGUGUGCUGUGUCGGCGCUGGCGGCGCGUGAGACUCUCUUGUCUGUUGACGAGUCUGGCGACCUUUGGCUCGUGCAUUGCGGGGUGUGCUCGAUUGGCGGUAUGUUAGGCUUCGGYUUUGACAAUGCAGCUUAUUGAGUGUGCUUCGUGGCGCGUGGCUGUAUGGGUGAACCGGAUGGUCUUCGGUCGUUUGUGUGAGUUUUGCGCGCGAGUCUGUUGCUGGUGUGGCGUGCUGCGUUGGGGGACGGUCACCAUUUGGGAAUUUGUGCUCUUUGUUUUUGUGAUUCGUUGCAAAACUGUGCAUCUCAAUUGGACCUGAUAUCAGACAAG